rnacentral:lncRNA from 1 species
GUGCGGGAAAGUGAGGGUCGCGCGGGUCCCCACGGCCCCUGAGUAGCUUGGGGCGCCCCGGUGCGGGACCCCGGGUCCCCUUACCGCAGAGCAGCACCAGCAGCAGCGAGAGAAGUUGAGGGCGCCAAAGCACUACUCGCGUCUCCAUGGCUGGUCGGCUGCGGCGCGGUUCGGCUGGGUCCGGGCUGGGCACGCUGGGGGCGCCCGGAGGCGGGGCCCAGACGGGGUUGGGGCCACGGAGAGCCCGCCCCCAGGACGCGCCCCCACUACGCUCCCUCGCCCAGGACAGGCUCCCCCUGAGGACGCGCCUCUCGCACUCCUCCCCAGGGCGCGCCCUCCCCGGCAGGAUGCUCUCGCUGAGAUGAGCCAUCCCUCCCGCUGCGGGGGUGCGGCCCGCGGCGACCGCGGCUGGGCAGGCGAGGUGCGGGCUGGGGGACGGUGGGGUGAGAGUGGGGGGCGGCCUGGCAGGGAGUGGACGGGGUUGCGGCAACGAGGGGACCUUUGAGCAGAGGCGCUUAGGGAGCGGGCCCCCGAGGGACGGGAAAGUGUCUGGAAGGAGAAUGCUGUGCAGCUUCGUCAGCUCCGUGCCUGAUCCUUAGUGGACCCAGGCCCCCAGGACACCUUCCUGGGAGCUUCCUUGUGAGUGGAACAUUUACACCCUUCUGGACCAAGACCCUCCCCCCAGGCCCGGCUCCCUCUGCGCAUGGCAGGCCCAGAUCAGCAGCUCUGAUCCAGAUUUCAGAGCAGGGGAUUGUGGAAGACACAGAGACUUAGCUCCAGCCAAGCUCCGCUAUCUUCCUAGCAGAAAACCUUCAAGGAGCCUCACAUUUUCCAUCUGAAGCUAGAGAGAAUAACUGCCCUGCCUCACUCCCAUGUCAGAGGAAAAAUAACACCAUAGAGUGGAAAGAAAAACUACCUGAUGAGAGAAAGUAUUUGUGACACACAGGAUUCAAAUCUAAAGGAACUAUGACUUAUAGCAAUUUGUAAGCAGAAUUGAAGCAUUUACCUUUUUCUCCCUAUCUGAUCCCUCCAGAAUUUGAAAACUCUUGAUGAAUGAUCCAAAAGACCCAGAGAGAAUUCGAAUUAAAGAACCAGACACUCUCAGAUGUUCCUCUGCAUCAUCUCUAUAGUGGAGACUGAAUCCUAUUAAAAUACUGGAAACACAAGCACCCAGAAGAUCAAUUUCAUCUCUGCUGAAUGGGACCAUACAAGCAAUGCCACAGGAAACAGGAAUCAUGCCAUAGAAGAACAUCACAACAGGAUCACCCAAACCUUGGCUGGCUUCAUACUCUAGACACUGACUUCUCCAAAUGGACAAGUGAACCUCUAAUAGAUCUCAAGUUGCUGUACAGAAGACGGUCCCCUAAAACAGGAAGCAGCUGGAGCGGUCUUCAUCCCCAUUCCCCAAGAUUGACGAAUGAUCAAAAGAGAAGGGGGAUUGAAACUGAAGAUGAAGGAGUUAAAAUUUCCCUGGAUUAGGGUGAAACUGUGCCUUGUACCCACAAGGUUAACGUGGGAAACAAAAUAACCAAAGUUUCUGAGCUUGCCUUGCAGAACAGCAGGAGGACCACUGAUAAGAGAGGAACUUGCUGACAGCCCCCUGCCUGACUAAGCAUCUUGGAGGAACAUUGAGAAGCUAAAAUGACUGAUUGCAAACUUUAGAUGUCAAAGACUAAAGACUAAAAAGCCACCACUUGAAACAUGUAGAACAGACAGUCACACCUGUGCAGAGGACACUUAGAACUUCAGCCCAGAAGGCCACAUGCCCCCCUCCCCUACCUAAAACCCCGAACAAAAACCCUUGCUUGUAGCUUUUUGGAAGUUCAAAAUUACAGUGUUAGCUGCCCAUUCCCCUUACUCAGUGCUUUGCAAUAAAAUUCCUACUUUCUUCCACUACACCCAGUGUCAGAGAUUGGCUUGCUGCACAACGAGUGAGUGAAGUCACUUCAGGUUCAAUAUCAAGGAUAUAAGCCCUCUGGCUGCAAAGGAUUCACACAACAAAACCCCAAGUCAAAAUCCCCCCAAGAAAAAGGAGCCGUCAUUCUGCCCAAAGGGGAUCAUGGCCAGUCAAACAACAUCAGUCAUCUCCCCUCAAAGUGCCAUCCCCAGGGCUCUUCCUCACCUAUGCCAAUGUCAUGUCACAUUGAGGGUGCCAUUAGGUCAUUCUCUCAGUUAGUUAGGACUGAGGGGAAAUGGGGCUUCAGUUUGUGCUCCCAACCAGGUACACACCCUGUCCCAGUGCCACACACCACGGAGGGCAAGAGGAUGAGGGCUGGGGAUGCCCACAGAGGUCACCAGAACCUUGGCAGGAUUCAGAGUUGGCCCAGGCCCGCCCUCCCCCUGCUGAGCUUGGAGGGGAGAGCUCCGUGUUCUCUGCUCCUCUCUCAGGGCAUCUUCAUGCCCACUCUGUGCACUUAGCAAGACCGACUUCUUCUUGGAAUCCACUAGCUCCUCCACACUUAGCCCUUGGGGCCCUCCUCCUCCGGGUCUGCUCCUCUGGCCUCUGCACCUUCUGUCUCCAUCCAGCUCUGCCCCCGACUUCACCCACCAAGAUCCAGCUCUUCCUCCACUCCUCCAUGUCUGGCUCAGGGCCCUCCCUGGGUCCAGGCCCUCUGCUCUCACGUCUUGUGGCCCCAACUCCUCACCCCCCAGCUUGGGAACUGGAACAUUGAGUCCCUGGAACAGAACUGUCUUUGCUGAAAUUAGUGAAACUGCCAGGUGGUAUGAGUAGCCUGUCUGCAGAGAGACAGAACCCAAAUGCCAGUCCUCUCUCCUGCCUAGCUGCAGGCUGCCCCCGUCUCUGUGUGACACAUCAUUUCUCUUUUUGCUGCAUAAACUGCUUUUUAAUUUUUUAAAUUAGAGUCACAUAAAAUAAUAUAACAGAGAAGAUGCCUAAAUUUUUUUAAUUAAUUUGUUACGAUCAUUCUACCACUUAGUAAUUGUAAAACCCCUUUCUGAAGUUAAAGUAACGCUUGAUGAUUGCAACAAAGAAGACAGAGUCAGUGUGCCAGGCGAACACUCUCUGCAACGCAGUGAAGAAGGAAGUGCACGUUCUUUUCUGUUCUCCUUUUCAGUCGGUCCCACGCCCAAAGGUAAAUUUUCUUUUUUUUGUAUGGUACUAAUUCUUCCAUAACAAAGAUACAAUCUCUGAUGGCUGAACAGCAUUCCUCUGUGCGGCACUGGCUUUCAUCAACCCCACCUUAGAGUUUCCCCAUAACAAACAAGGCGUUACUGUCAUCACAGUGCAGUCUUUGCACAGUCCCGUGCAUUGUACACAUUCCUAGGAUAAAAUGCAGUUACAUUAAUUAAUAAGCAUCAUGUACAUUCCCAGAGUAGAAUGCUGCAGCCACGAAGGCAGCACACACACAGUUCGGUUGGCUGGCUUCCUGUGGAAGUGAGGCCCUGCAUUCCCACAUUCCUGCUACCUGCAGCCACACAGCCCACAUGGCCGCACGGGCAUCAAGUCCAGAUGAGUGGACUCUGCCCGGGUCCUUUUCCUUCCACACACAGCCUUUCCCAAAAUUCUCUCAGUCAUGUGUUCCCCGUGACCACAGCAGCUCCUCAAAUGGCUCAAGCGUCACCUAUGUAGCAGUCAGGACAGACACAGAUGGGGAGAGCAGUUAUAGUCAUGGAAAUGAAGGACAGAUGAAGGACAGCCAGCCAGGGAUGUCCCAGGGUGUGCCCUCUCACCUGUGGUUCCAGGUGCGUUGGCCUUCCAGGACAUGGCCGUGUCCUGGGAGCUGGAUGGGGAGCCGGGGGGCAGCGGAGCUUGGCCACCUCGAGACCCUGUCUCUUGUGCGAGAUGAGUAGGGGGAGCUCUGGGGAAGACUCAGGUGGAGUCAAUACUCGAUGUUUUAUUUUAUUGCUUCUUUUCCAGUCACUUCACUGGCUGUUUUCAGGGUCUUUCUCUGUUUCUGUUACCUUCAAAAAGCAGCUAUUCCGUGUUGGCUGAACGACGCUUUGCCACACCAGGUUCUCUGCUUCCCCUGCAGUCCCACAGGAAUGUUUCAGGGCUAGAACUGGAGCCCAGUGUCCCCAGUGUCCCCACACACACGCACAGGGCCAGGACUCUUGCCAGCCUCCCGCGCUUGUCUCUGUCUCCUCUGCACCCACUCCAAAUGGGGUCACCGUCCAUAGCAGGGCUGUCCAUUAGACCUAUAGUGUGGGCGACACAGGUCGUGGUAAAUCUGGUGGCCAAAUAGGAAAAUGUAAAACAAACAGGUGAAAUUUUAUUUUUAGCAAGACAUCUUAUUUAACGCAUUAUACUUGAAAUACUAUUUCAACAUGUAAUCAAUAUUAAAAAUCAUUAAUGAGAUAUCUUCCAUUCUCUUUUGUACUAAUUCUUCAAAAUUUGGUGCAAAUUUUACACUUACAGCACACCUCAGUUCAGAUGGAGCUCCUCAAACUGUCUUUUGAUUUUACAAAAUUUACAGUUGAAAAAGUAGAGUCACAUACCCAAGUUGCUACAAACAUACUUAAAAGUCUUCUAAUAAGGGAAUUAUCCACUUUUUAAUUUAAAUCACUUGAAAUGCAGUACAAUUAAAAGCCGGUUCCUCAGCCC